CAAAGGUUUUCAUUAUAUGUGCACAUAUACACAGAAAGGAGACCAAACCAGUCAGACCUAAAGGAAAUCAACACUGAAUAUUCACUGGAAGGACUGAUGCUGAGGCUGAAGCUCCAAUACUUUGUCCCCUUGAUGCGAAGAGCCAACUCAUUGGAAAAAACCCUGAUCCUGGGAAAGACUGAAGGCAAGAGGAGAAAGAAGUGACAGAGGAUGAGAUGGUUGGAUGGCAUCACUGACUCCAUGCAAGUUUGAGCAAGCUCUAAAAGACAGUAAAGGACAGAGGAGCCUAGUGUGCUGCAGUCCACGGGGUCACAAAGAGUUAGCCACGACUGUGCGACUAGCUACAACAACAUGUACACAGAUAUCAGAACCAUCACUGGAACCAAACAUAGAAUAUUUUCAAUACCUUAAAAAGAAAUUCCAUGCCUUUAAGCUAUGCAUAUCUAUCUCCCAUCCGGCCUCCCUCUUCUGGUCCUAGGUAACCAUUUGUCUACAUUCCGUCUCUAUAGAGUUGCCUAGUCUGGACGUAACCAUUUGUCCACAUUCCGUCUCUAUAGAGUUGCCUAGUCUGGACAUUUCAUAUCAGUAAAAUCAGGUAUCCAGAAACUACAUGUACUGGUACUAUGCACUGUGGAAGGGAGAAAAUCAAAUAGAGAAGAAUCUGAACUUUAAAAAGAUGCAGAAGUGCUGGAAGCAGGCAGCUCCUCUGACAGCUCUGUGGUCCCAGCUUCCAGUUUGAUUCAUGGCCGGCGCUGAGACACAGGAAGUUCGUGUCUGCUGUAAUCUAAACACCAUGAAAACGGAACAGAAGAAACAGUGCAGAAAGACACAGUAAUCUGGAUUGUCCCUCAAUUCAACAGCAAUAAAAUCUGGACUUAGUGUUUAGCUGGAAAUUAAGACAGUGUUCACUGCUCCAGAAACAGCCACUGGGGGAAAGGGACUAUUUAAGCAACAACAACCGGAAGGUAUAUUUAGCUGUCCAUACUCCUCAUUGAAGAGGAAACCACCCUCUACUGUUAUUAUUACACUGUGCAAACAAAGAAAAGGGGACAAAAUCUUGUCUUUAAUCCAAAGCAAGAAUUUACCAAAGGGAAGAGGAGAGGAAUCCAGAGCAACAAGUCUGAUCCUUAAAGCAUCUCUUUUUAGCAAGAAGGGUAUGUGAAAAGACUGCUCAAGGGGUGAAUCAACUUGACAUCCUCCAUAUGCUAUUGACUUGUCGAAUCCCAAAUUCUUUAAUCUGGUAUAAAAAUAGCAUUUUAAAACUGACUCAUGUUGGAGAGGUCCAGCUGCAUCCAAGUCAAUAAAUCCUCAGAGACAGAAGAAUGCAUAUUAACCAGAUAAGAGGAUGGUACACAAGGCAGAGAGUUGGAGGGGACUUCUCUGACAAGUCAGCUCUCCUUGAGUAUUAGUUAUCUAUUACAAAGAAGAAACUUUCCUGAAACAAAAAGCUUACAUAACAAUGGAUAUUUAUUAUCAUCUAUCAUUUCUGUGAGUCAUGAAUUUGGGAGCAGCUUAGGUAAGUGGUCUGGCUUGGCUUUUCUCAUAAGGUUGCUAUCAAAAUAUUGGCCUGGGCUACAGUCAUCAGAAGUUUAUCUAGGGCUGGAGACUCUGCUUCCAAGAUGGUGUACUCACAUGGCUGUUGGCAAGAGCCUCUAUUCCUCACCAUGUGAGACUCUUCAUAGAGCCGCUUGACAUGGUAUCCUUGUGACAUGGCAGUUGGCUCACCCCAGGGUAAGUGAUCCAAGAAGCUACAAUGCCUUUUACAACCCAGUCUUGGAAAUCACACACCGUUAUUUCCACACGUUGCUCCUUAGAAGUGAAUUACUACAUCCGGUCCACACUCAAGGGGAAAGGAGAUUAUAGAUUUUGGUUAAUAACAGAGGAACAAUAUUGGCUUUGGGGUGGUAACAAAUGUACCCACACUAAUGCAAGAUGUCAAAUACAGAACUUGGGGACAGGAAAGGGAGGUCAUGUGGGACCUUUCUGUGAUUUUGCUAAGUUUUUUUCCUAUAAAUCUAAUAUUGUCUUAAAAAUAGAAUUUAAUAACUUUUUAAAAGGAAAUCGGAGACACUGGUAAAAUAGACAAUUAAGUUUUGUAUAGCAAGAGAAUGUCAAAUAUAAAACACUAUAAAAGGAAGGAGGGAAAAAAGGAAGAACACAGGAAAGAAGUUAUGGACGUAUUUGCCUAUUAAUUUUUUGAAAAUUGUUCCUCUUGGCUAAUUUCUGCACCGUUAAUAAUAGAUUGUGAAAAUUCUGUAUCUAUUUACACAGUUGACCAAAAUAUUAUAUAAGACACAAGCUACACGACCAAGACCUCUGAGAUCUGGAAGAGAGUCCAGGUAGACCAGAAGGUGUUUCCAUGACUCACUGCCUGGAGCAGCACUCUUUUUUUUCAUACAAUUUUUUAAAUUGGAAUAUAAUGCUUUACUUUGUUGUGUUGAGCAUCACAGCAGCUCCCACCUUUUCAUAAUAAAAGAAUCACACAACUCCGU
ensembl:lncRNA